CGCCGGUGGCUCGGCGGUAUGGGCCGCUGAGGGAACUACCGCUCCCGGCGUGCCGUGCGGCGGGCGGGCGCGGGAUGUGCCGGGAGUUGUAGUCUGUGAGGGGAGGUGGCCUCCCCGCGAGGCUCAAGGGGCUGAGGGGAAGCGCGGCCCUCAUGGCCUGCGGAGGGGUUUUGGCGGCCUUUCUCUCGAAGCUGCAGGAGGAAGGGCGGAACCUGCGGGCAAUUGGGAAAGGAAGAGGGGCAAAUGGGACAAAUAGUCUCAAAUGCCCCAUAGCCACAUUUGAGGGCGGCUGUGGCUUGCUUCUGGGCUGCUGCCGGGUGAGGCUUGAGGCGUGGGAGCCGGCUCCUGGCUGCCAUCAGGUUUCCUGGCUUCAGUUCUGCUUUUCAGAGGGAAACACACAUUGAGACCCUUCAGCUCCCAUGCCAUCACCCCAAAACUACUUCACUCCUAUUUUGAUCACUGAUAAAGACAUUGAACUGCGUUAGCUCCUUUGAAGCCAUUAAAUAACCCAUUAGAAGAGAGUAGAAACAUGUUGGUGUAGCUGCUAAUUGGUUCGCAGAGCAUUUGAUACAG